rnacentral:rRNA from 1 species
ACGACCAUAGACUGAGGAGAAUUGGGCAUCCCGUCCGCUCUGCCAUACACAAGCCUCAGAUCGGUAGAUUAGUAGUUGGGUGGGUGACCACCAGCGAAUCCCUACUGUUGUAUGUA